UGAUGUGCAAAUGAUUGCUGAAGAAAAUUUAUACUGGCGAUUAUGUUUACAGCGAGAAGUACUUAAAAAUGGAAGUCGAGACUCCGAAAUCGUGACAAUUCCAGAAUCUCCACAGGAAUUUAUACCUGGAAAGGGUUCUCAUAUUAUAUUCUGGUACAAAGAUUCGCAGUGCGAGAAGUAACCUUCAUUGCAAAUUGAGGAAAAAUUUAUUUCACGGAUACUCAUUUGAUUGUUAUAAACGUAUCGGCCUAUUGUUAUGAACAGGUUAAGUAACAGACCUAUAGAAUUGAAUUGUUUUGUUUCAAUGUUUAAUAAAAUUUAUUAAGUGUCUGUCUUA